AGCAUCCAUUUUUCCCUUGUUUUGUUUUGUCAUUUUAUUUUUAUUGUAUUUUCUUAUAUUAUUACAAGUCUCUGAAUAAUAAUUGUUUAUAGUAUAGAAAUUAAGAUGUUGCAGCUUUAGUGCUGUGACUUUUUAUUUGUUUAUUCAUUACCAUUAUUACUAUUGCUAUUAUUAUUGCUAUUAUUGUUACCAUUAUAAUUAUUACUAAUUAUUUAAUUCGUUCAUUCAUUUAUUUUCAUUAACUUGUUUCUUAACUCGUUUUGCAAAACUGCAUUACUAUCAAGGGAUCUUAAACUCAGCCAGUGAAUUGAAGGCAAGAAGCUCGGAACGAGGAUUUUAAAUAAAGUAAGAAAAUUGAGGAAACGGUAACGGCUUUGCUGCGUGAAAUAUGGCCCUCUCUGUCUCCUGCAGUCUUACGUAGAAAAAAGAAAAAAAACGUUAAUUGUGUGUUAUUUGAAAAGCUGUAAAUUCCUGUAACGAGGGCCUUGAUAUACAUGUAACCUUACAAGAGAGAUAAGGAAAAAAAAAAAAAAGUUGAGUGCGUAGUCGUCUGGGGAAAUUGCGUGAGACAAGCUCGGGACUACCCAGACUGAGUGCAACCAUCCUCGCUGCUCCGGCUCCUGGCGAGGUGCGUAGUGGUGGCUGGCCGGAUAUUAAUUCCUUCUCACUUCAGUAACAUCCUCCAUUGUUCAGCUCACCACUCGUACACAGUCAGUUCCGACGGGUUAGCAAAAUGCCAGUCCCUGGAGAAAAUGAACUCUCAUAGAUUUUGAAUAAACUGAUUUUGCUGUACAUGUCAUGGUUGUAUUGAAAAAUCUAAGGAGUUUGUCGAAAUCAGAAGAAUUAUGUACUACACAAUUAUGCAAAUAAAGUAAUUAUACGUAUUAGUACAAGAUAACCUCUCUCUCUCUCUCUCUGCAGUGCUUACGUAAUGAUGUCGACUCUCUUAAAUCAGUCAAGGCCUGAAAAAUCAUUAAGAGAGAUCAGCGGUUUCAGGAAAGUUAUUAAUUUGUAACAGUGCGCUUUGGUUUCAAUUUGGGCGGCACUGUAGCUCGUGAUGUGGAUGGAUGGGAUUGGUUAGGUACAGUACAUUUCCUGAUUGACAGUCUUCUUUCCUUGGGUAUAAACAAAAUCACUGACACUAGCAGAAAAAAAAAAUCAUUCAGGAUAAAUUAUAAAAAAUAACAAUAAAAAAAAAAAAAAAUUAAGUGGUAUGAGCUAGCACUGUCCUGAGAUAUACUUACUCGUUGAGAGUAUCGAACAUUUGUUCCGAAAUCCCAACCAGAAUCGAACACAGGAAGGCGAGGAAGGAACACCUGCCAGUUGUUGCUUUACCUACCAAAACUGCUAAAGACGCAGAUGUGGCCGUUACUUUGAUGCUGGGUGGCCAUUUCCUUAUUGAAAUUGAAGAACCAGGCUGAUGCUACUCCUGACUCUACUGCUGUCCCGUGUUCCAAGGAGCAAAGAGCUAAUGUUGAAGAUUCUGUGAAAGUAAACAACCAAUGGAGUUAUUCCAGAAAGCCGCCAGAGGCUGAGCCUAGAUAGUGACUUAUGGUGUUGGGGUGACACUCCCAUGCAGAAUGACAGAUUGUGUUCUCAUGGCCCACCUUCAUGAGGAACAGCACCACACACAAAGAGUUAAGUGAGGUCAAAUUUAGUUUUGAAUAUAGUAUAGUUUGUAUUGCCAGAUCCACGGUGCAGCACCUGACUGAUAUGAUCAUUCUCUUUGUGAUCAUUGUUACAGUUAUUCAUUGUUUAUGUUCUCCAACUAAACAAUCAUACAUUUUAUUACUAAGCAAUUCAUUUACUUAAGUGAGCUGUGAAAUUGACAGGAUGUUGAAAAGGUGAAUCGUUAUAUUUCUAAGUAUUUAGACCGGCAAAGGAUUGGUUUGGUUUACUGCUCCACCUUGUCAUUCUUAUGUUGUGCACUUUUGAGUUGCGAUGCCCUCCUUGGUGGGUUCUGUAGCAGAGUCUGGUGUCACCCAACUACUGAAUGUGAGGUAGUAGGACUACAUCUUGGUCCUGUGGUAAGAAGUGGAAUAAUGCUUGUCACUGAGGUGUUUCUCCACAUUUCCGUUAAGAUUUUAUUUAGAAUAGGUGGUCAAGUGCAGCAAGUUUGGUAUUUGUACAUUUUUUUGUUAUCCAUACAUAAUUUGCAUACAAUAUGUCUUCUGUUAUAUCUGUAGAGUAAAUGCUUAAUAAUAUGGCAAUACUUGGACAUUACAUACAAACAACUCAGAGUAAUUAAAUAUUGCAAGAGAAAUUAAAGUAUUGAACAUGUCUCCUACUUUGUUUCAUUAAUUUUUUACUGUUGAUGGAGUCCCAUGGUGAGUUCCCAUCAGCUUGACAACCAGUACAUUGGUAGUUACAGUACACAGGUGAACACUGAGCGAGCAGUUCCACAUAUCACUUAUCACCACAAGACCAAGUUCCUUGUAUGAUGCAGAUUGGGUGGUGAACCAGCAUUGCAGAAAAUGCAAAGGAAACCAUAUGGUACAACAACCCAUUAACUGUUUGCUGCUGCUGCCACCUUACUCUAGUCUAUAUAUAUAUGACAUAUGCAUAUGUUACAAUGUGUUACAUAAAGAUAUACCUACUGUACAUGUAUGAUUAGUGUUAUUGCUCUACAACACAAGGGGACUCGUAAAACACUGAUCUAAACCGUAUUACCUAGCAUUACUGAAGCACGCUGCUAGUGCCAUCUUACGGCAGCUUCAUCAUUAUAUCUCCCUAGCUAAUUUGUGCUUCGGCUAGGCAGGGAACUGCAUCCCCAGUCCCCUUAGCCUCAAGAUCUCCUGAAGCACUCACUUUUGCUCUUUCUCUCACACUCUCAUUCACUCUUACUCUCCCAUCAGACUAGUGCAGGGCCACUCACCUGCUAAAUGACUGCUAUUAUGUACUUUAUUUUUUUGGGGGGGUAUGGUUAAUAACAGUAGUCAUGCAACAGGGGGAUGCCGUAAGUCCUUCAGAAAUAUAAAGAUAUAUUUGUGUCCUUAAAAUUGUCUUUUUGGAAAACUCCAGAAAUGAGUACAAUGUUAAACUUUUAUUUAAGUGCACUUGACCUAUCCUCACAGAAGUCACGUUUUUCAAGAACCACCAUCAAAUACAAUCUCAUGAAAUAUGUAUCUCGGCCAGUAGUACUUUACUUCAUGCACCAAAUUUGGUUUUAACACUUGGACCCACAAUUUAUUUGAUGAAACACAAGAAUACAAUUUUGUUAUUAGAGAUUUUUAAAAACAAAAAUAUAAUUUUGUCAUUGGAGAUUUUUAAAAAGAAAAAGGACAAAAAUAUCACAUGCUUUAAUGUAUAGUAUUAUGUUUUAAUUUGUCUUUUUCCAUUUCUUUCAGCUGAGAUCCAUGAAAUGCUAUUUUGGUCACAAAUGCAGCUCAGUCCACUCUGCCACCUGCAUGUCAAACCUGGCAGGCAGGUGUGGCAGGAGUACCGGGGCUUCCUACACAAGAGUAAAGUGGAUGAAUUGGCCCCGUUCUGGCGUUGGCCGAGGGGCGCAGGGCUGGGGCGUGGUGCUUGUGGUGCCCUGGCUGGUGGGUACUGCAGAGGUAGGGGUUGCCUCACCAGUACUGCUGCUCAGGGAUGGGGGAGCAGAAGGAGCGUGCUAGGGAGGACAGGAUCGACAACACUGCCGUUGGUAACUCUGGAUGCGACACAUGUUCAUCCUCUUGACAAUGUUGCAGUAUUUGCUUCGAUCGCGACAACCCUUCACUUCCUGGCUGUCGUCUUCACCUGUGUGGGAAGACAACUCCUAUCUCAGCACCACUCUACCUGGCGACCUCUCUUGGCCCGAGUUCCUGACUUGGUGACCAGCACUUCACAUUACAUACUGAGGUCUGGGCAGGGGUCACCAUUGCACCAGCGGACCACCUCAGGACGUGGCAGUUCCCUGCAGGCAUUCCCAGCAGCUUUCUUGGUCCCAUUCCACACACACUGAAGAAGACGUGUGCGAUAUCCCUGCCCACCACACGGGGCGGUGCACUGCAACAGUCACCGACGCGCCACACUCCUGAACACUGGUAGUUGUAGCACUCCUGUCGGUGCCGAGGCCGCGUCCGGUUGUCACACUGCAGGUUGCUGACAAUGGUGCCAUUGUGCAGCUUACACACCACCUCCCGCCGCUGGUAGGCUGAGGCUCAGGCUUACCAUAGUGGAGGGUGAAGCAGCGAGAGGAUUCGCACUCUGACCACCCCCCAAAGUGCCACUGUGGGCAUUCUGUGAAGCCGCACCGCUGGAUGGUGACUGGUGCCUCCAGGCCAGCAUCUACACAGAGGGCACCAUCCACUGGUGAUGUCACAUUCUUCACUCUGGCAAGGCACUGGAUGGACCUCACCUAUAAUGUUUUGGCCAAAAAUGAAUGCCUUCCACUAAAUAUUUGCAGUUAUCCUUAAAGAAAAGUUUGGAAAUUAAGUUUUCUCAGAAACCACGACGAUAAUUUCAAUUCUCAGAAACCAUAAAUAUAAUUUUGAAAUGUAUUAUGCACCAUUCUGAAAACAAAAUGAGAAAACAUCUUAAAGAAAUGGAACCAGAGCAGGUUAGAUUCUGUUUUAAAGAAAAUAUUUGUCACUGACCUGGUAGCCGCUGCUGCUGCUGGUGAAGCCACAGGUCUGAGAACACUCAGACCAAUUAGUCAUCUGCCACUCAAACUCCAGUGAGUCUCUUGUUCCUGAGAGUAAUACAAAUUAACUUUAGCUGUAAUCCCUCUCACCACAAUAUUCAAUAUAUGCAUGCAAGUGCAGCAAAGAUAUGAAGAAAAGGUUCCUAAUGAAGAGACAAAUCAGCAUAUCUUGCUUCACCUUUGCCCAGAAUGUCUCCUUUGCCAUGUGGGUCUCGUGUUGUGUUGUCAUCCUGCACAAACCCAUGAGACGACAUCCUGUUGUUGAACUCGUCCAUGGGAGAGUCCAUGUGCCUGGCACCCCGGGAGCUGAUGGUGCCCUGGAGGGAGGCCGGAAGGAAGCUCUGUGUCCACAUUAGUGAAAUCAAACGUGAAGCAAGGAGGGAAAUCCUAAACAUAUUACUAGUCCUCUUGUUCAUAACAUCUCUUACUUCUAAGGUUGGUUGUGUUUUGAAUGUGAAAAUUAUGUUCAUGCCCUCUGCAGCAUCUAUUCUUAAUAAUGAUGACUCUUUCCCUCCAAGGGUGUGGUACUGACUCGAGAUACCCAGCUGUGCCUUUCAUGCAAAUACUCCUCACUUCCCACACUCGUCUCAUUCCUCUUGCUUAGAAAUGUGCACAUUUCACAGACCAUUUAUGAACAUUCAUGGAAAGAAAAAACUGCAUGAUACUCUACUAUAAUGAAAAUUAAACAACACUUCAUGCUGUCUAUCAGUAAAGCUACAAGAACAAGUUUUUUCAGUAUUCUUGCCUGGCAUUCCUUUGUUAAUCUUCUUAUACUACAACUCGAUGCAUACAAUCUUAUGGAUGAGCAGCAAAAUACUUGAGAUACAGCUAGAGGUGGCAUAUCAUGUGAUACUUUGCUGUAGGAUUUAGUCUCCUUAAGUUAAAAUGAAAUGAAAUUAAACCAUAUACCAUACACUUAAGGUCCUUUAAAAUACAUGAAAAAUAUUUAUUCAUGGUAAAAAUGAAAUGUGCAAAGAAAGUGGCGGACUCAGCAAAAUGCCACAUGAUGGGUAAUGUGUUGCUGGUGGUGACAGGUGCUUGCUCAGUAACUUUGAUGACUGCAUUAAGAAUUAAGAUUUUUAUUAUACCAACUGCUUAUGGUGAUCAUAAGAAUUUGUCAAUCAUCAGUAUGCUUCACUAUCUAGUUGAUAUUUUGUAAUUUGCACACACUGUAGUACACAAUUAGUACAAUCAUGAGUGGUGAAAGCAAGCUUCUUUGUUACAUUUUUUCUAAUAUACAUGAUCAUCAAUCUGUAAAGCAAGCAAAAUUUUUCUUUUAUCUGACAAUUAUUGUAAUAUAUGAAGUUGCCAGUCUUGAAUUUUCACACUGAAAAGCAAAAUAUUAAACAUUUUUCAAUCAAAUAUCAUCAAUCAAAUAUUACCUUUUGUCUUCACACCUAAUAAAAUUACGGACCAAUUUUUUUUAGAUUCGCCCUGUGAAAUGAAGCCUCUGUUGUAUUAAUAUACAUGUGAAAAUAAAAAUUCAAAACCUCAUCAAAGCUAUGGAUGGGUAAACUGCAAUACAUGAGCCUGGCAGUUAUAAACUAGUCCUGCAAAUAACACUUCAGAAACAACCUAAAAAUAAGUAGGUGAAUGUAUAACAGGAGUUUUUUUGUUCAACCCUAGAGCAAACAGUUACACAUGCAAGCAGACAGCAGUAGCAAAGCUCCCAACAUAGAGGAAUGCCCAUAAGCACCAGACUAAAUUGCUAGCAGUGGAUUUUCCGGAACUGCACACAUACAAAGCGUUCAUUAGAAUAAGGCUUAUUAAAAGACAUGCAAUAUACACUAGUAUUAAGAGGGGCAGCACCAUGGGAGUUAUUGUUGGAAACCUUUACAAAAGACUUGCAAAGACAGUCAAAAUGCCUCAUUCUGGACUCAACAAAGAUUGAAGGUAAAUCCUAGUUAGUAUGCAAGUCAUUCUAUUUUGAUGUGUUUAUCCUUGAAGCAGCUUGAUUAAUGUGAUGUAGAUGAAGUCCCUAAUUGUUGUGGUUCAUACAUCUUGCCCAUUCCAGUGCAGGAGUUGGAAUACAAGUAAAUGUAUAAGGUAGGCUUAUUCCUCAUAUUAUGCAGUGGUUAAGUGUAACUUGGAUAAAAUUUUAUCCAUGAAAUUAAUGCUUGUUUUUUCCUUAUUGAGGAUGGGGCAGUUAAUUUCAUGAAGCUAGCAUGUGCAGGCCCCUCAAAUCCUCCCAGGCCUCACCUCCAAGUUGGAAAGAAGCUUCUGGAAGGGAGGAACAGUGCGGGAACCUCCAGAGCUGGUGUUGGGGGGUGCUGGGGUCAGGGAAAGGGAGACUCCAUGGCGCCUUUGAGGGGUGCCAGUGGGGGUGCGGUGGAGAUGGUGGUUGUUGUGGUGGUGGUUGUGGUGGUGGUGCUGAUGACCAUGGUGGUCCAAGGUGGUGGUGGUGGUGGUGGUGGAAGUGGUAGAGGUGGAGUGCACAGUGGGAGAACUAUCGGAGGUAGGAUUGGGUCUUCGGUCUGUGUCGUGACCAGGGCUCUGGGUGUCACCAUGGCUGUGGUGGAACUGAGACCCCAGCCUGGGACGUGACCAGGAGGAGGAGGGAAGGUGGUUCUGGAUGGGGAAGGGGUGGAAGAGGAAUACCAUGCAGUGAGAGAAGGGCACAAUAAGAGAGGGAAGCAAGUCAAGUGGAGGUCACUCUGGAACCACAACUUUAAAGAAAACUGUACAAAAAGAUCACUAGGUAAAAAUAGAUAAAAAACACUCACCCACAAGGUAAAGCAUAACAUUGCAGAUAAAAUACAUACUACAAAAGGGUGUAGCUUUAUGGGAUAUGUCCAGUACUGAGAAGUAAGCUCUGUGGUAAUAGUAUUGAGGAAUCCAAGGAAAAAUGAUACCUUGAAGGUAUAUGAAGAAGUAAAGCUUUGUGUGUCAUAGAUAAAACAACAGCUGCUUAGAAACAGAAAUACCAUUGUUCAGGGAUUCAAAAGCUGAAAUGAUCCUGUAAAGGCAAAAAGGCAGAGUAUUUUCCAUGUAAAAGUGUGUAGGUAAAGCAAGCGUUUUGAGUAUUUGAGACAAACCAUUCAAGAAAGGUGUGUUCCAAGACAAUACCUAACCCUGCAGAGCCACAAAAUUUGCUGACAAACAAUUCAGAAACCAAUCUGAUGAAAGUACAAGUAUGAAAAUAUUGACCUUAACUAUUCAAAAUCAAGCACAAAAAAACAAUAACAAUUACUCUGCAACAUUAACAUUUACGUCAUGGAUACGUCUUCUACAAAAAAGACGACCCAACAUUACACUUUCAUUGCUCACAGUGAAAUAUAUCCUGCCUGGCUGGAACACAAGAGGUCUGCUGAAGAACACCUACACUCCUACAGAGAUGAGACACACCACAUGCACCAACACAAUGUGCACUUACCUCGGAUGACUCAGGCCUUGUGUAGUCAGGGAGAUUGGGAAAGAUUAUGCAUUAGAAAAGCAACUAUUGGAGGACUAAAUCUCACCUCAAAGAUCUGCGUCCCGUCUUCCCAUUUUCUUCUUCUGGAGUGCUCUGUCCCUGGCAGCAUGUUGUGCCGAACUGUGCCAUACACUAUUUGGUUCUCCUCACUGGUGAUCCGUGAAGUAUUACUGAGGAAGGAAGACACACUGCAGUCAGCUGACAUGUCUUACUGUUGAUGUAUACAAGUCUUGCACCUCACAAUAAUUCCUGCAUGACUUUUUCAACAUUACCUUAUUGAUGUAAUUUUACAGGAUGAAUAUCAUUAUUUAUUUAUCACAUUUUGCUUUAUGAGCAAUGUGGUACAAGGGAAUGGACAGGAAAAAACCUUACAUAUAUAGUCUUAACUGAUCAUAACCAUUCCUACAUCACUAUUUUUCAACAUCACAUCUGCUGAGAGUAAUAAUGCAAUUUACAGACAAAAAAAUAAGGAAUUAAUUCAUCACAUUCUGCCUUUAUCACAUUCUUCCCUUUAAAGAAGGGAAUAGACAGCAAACUUGAACUUUCAUUUCACCAACCUGUGGAGAUUGACGGUCCCAUACACAGGAGGCCUUUCCUCUCUGGUGCCCUUGGAGGUGGAGCUGUGGCGCGGUCGGCCAGUGAGAGGCCAGCCACCAUGGUUGAUGGUGGCAUACACGUAGUCCUGCUUGGGGGUGGAACGCCAGAUGGGGGCAUCAUAUGUGUUAGUUGCCUCACUGCUACUCACCUCUACUGUGUGCAUGUUUUUGCUAGAUGCCUA